CAACCCUCAAGCUCUGCUUGGUAUUGGGCUCCGUCCUCCACCGGACGCGCCUCAAAGACCUCGGCGGUGGCGUCUUGCCUCAAGCGUAGUAGAAAACACCUCGCUUUGGAGCGCACGGCGCCGCCCGCCGGACGAACCUUUUGUUAAUUUUCUCAA
rnacentral:misc_RNA from 1 species